GGGCGAAUCUCGACCAAUUUGGGUCAGACAUAUGAAAGAGUAUUAAAAGUAUUCUUUCGCAUAAAAAAACGCUGGGCCUUUGAAAUUAGCUCAGUUGAAUAACUCGGCUUUCGUUCCAAGAACGCUCCUCCGAUCCGACUACCGACGAAGUGAACAGGCGGAGUCGAAGCAGCGCCCCGGUAAAUCUCUGGUAGCGGCCCCGCUGCUCUCCUCUCUACUUCUCUAAAGGGAUGGGAUUGUGGACAUUGCUUGAGGGUUUUCUACUUCUUGCAAAUGCGUUAGCCAUAUUGAAUGAGGAUCGAUUUCUUGCUCCUAGAGGAUGGAGUUUCUCUGUAGUUUCAGCAAAUGGUCGGUCAAAAUCAUUGAAGGGGCAGCUCAUAGGGCUUAUCAAUGCCACCCAGUACCUCAGAGUGCCGCUAAUAGUUCUCAAUGUUAUCAUCAUAGUAGUGAAGUUGGUUUCGGGCUGACUUUUAAGCGGUUGUAAAUGGGACUAAAAAGAAGGGAAAUCUUGGAGGUAGCAGAUGCGAGCGAAGAAGGGAAGAAACAAAGAAUUUUCCAACUCAGGUUUACUUGGGUUUAACAUCUACUAAAAGUUUGUUUCCAAUUUGCAUUGCUUAUCAUUGUGCUGAUCUUGAGAAUGAACCAAACAUGUUUGGAGUUCAUCUAUGGUGUUUCCAUAUCUUAUUUCAGAUUAUUAAGUUUGGACGAAUGACAUUUUGCUCCUCUCUCUCUCUCUCUCUCUCUCAAGUUCACUGUUCAUGUUGUAAAUGAACCCAGAGAUGGCCACAGGGUUCCUUAACCAUGUGCCUUUUGUGAGCCUAACCUCUGUGCUUACUGGUCGACAGGCAUGGAGAUAAAGGAAAGCUGAUCAGGACACUCAGGCUUAAGCUCUUAUGUGGUUCAGGUGUGUCUUUCAAAAUUGGCGCGAUUUAUAUCAAUUAAUCCCUAUUUCAUCCAUCUUCAUUCUCAGCAUUGCCAGUGCUUCUCCCAGCCUUGUGUUGGAUAUGUUUCAGAACGAUAUGUGGGAAAUCCAGUGACAAGGAUCGAAGACCAAUUCCACCAUCCGGGCAUGUACAUUGGCCUUGGAUUAGGUAUGGAUGUGGGGGAGUUUGAUCUAAGUUACUGGAGUUGCAUUUUUUUUAAUUUUAGUCCAGAUAUAUGGUGAGUUAGGUACUAGGAGACUAGGAGAGACCAUAUUUGGGUGGAAUCCAGUCAUGGCCGUGGAGUCGGAAUUGUAUCGGCCAUGGUUGGUCUCUUUUGGUACUAGCUUUUGAUGGACUCUUUUGGUACUGCUUGUUCACUUCACCUUGAAAUGUAACCAUCGGAUCGAGUGGAUAACGUGCUAACCGCUUGAUUGCAUUUGUAACAGUUUGCUGAAAUAGUAAAACCUAUGUGAAGUUGGCAGAUUA